rnacentral:rRNA from 1 species
AUUGAACGCUGGCGGAAUGCUUUACACAUGCAAGUCGAACGGCAGCAUAGGUGCUUGCACCUGAUGGCGAGUGGCGAACGGGUGAGUAAUAUAUCGGAACGUGCCCAGUCGUGGGGGAUAACGUAGCGAAAGCUACGCUAAUACCGCAUACGAUCUAUGGAUGAAAGCGGGGGACCUUCGGGCCUCGCGCGAUUGGAGCGGCCGAUAUCAGAUUAGGUAGUUGGUGAGGUAAAGGCUCACCAAGCCGACGAUCUGUAGCUGGUCUGAGAGGACGACCAGCCACACUGGGACUGAGACACGGCCCAGACUCCUACGGGAGGCAGCAGUGGGGAAUUUUGGACAAUGGACGCAAGUCUGAUCCAGCCAUUCCGCGUGCAGGACGAAGGCCUUCGGGUUGUAAACUGCUUUUGUACAGAACGAAAAGGUUUCUAUUAAUACUAGGGGCUCAUGACGGUACUGUAAGAAUAAGCACCGGCUAACUACGUGCCAGCCGCCGCAGUAA